UACGAGGGGGGCGAGCGUUGUUCGGAAUUAUUGGGCGUAAAGGGUGCGUAGGCGGUUCGGUAAGUUUUAUGUGAAAUCUUCGGGCUUAACUCAGAGGCUGCUUCCGAAACUGCCGUGCUCGAGUGUGAGAUAGGCGAGUGGAAUUGCAGGUGUAGCGGUGAAAUGCGUAGAUAUCUGGAGGAACACCGGUGGCGAAGGCGGCGACCUGGUCCUAUACUGACACUCAUACACGAAAGCGUGGGGAUCAAACAGG
rnacentral:rRNA from 1 species